rnacentral:rRNA from 1 species
UACGUAGGGGGCAAGCGUUGUCCGGAUUUAUUGGGCGUAAAGAGCGUGUAGGCGGCCAAACAGGUCAGCUGUGAAAACUCGAGGCUCAACCUCGAGACGUCGGUUGAAACCGUUUGGCUAGAGUCCGGAAGAGGAGAGUGGAAUUCCCGGUGUAGCGGUGAAAUGCGCAGAUAUCGGGAAGAACACCCGUGGCGAAGGCGGCUCUCUGGGACGGUACUGACGCUGAGGCACGAAAGCGUGGGGAGCAAACAGG